GCGCACGUGGCGAAAUUGGUAGACGUGCAGGUCUCAGAAGCCUGUGCCUUCGGGUGUGGGAGUUCGAGUCUCCCCGUGCGCA
rnacentral:tRNA from 8 species